GAUGAACGCUAGCUACAGGCUUAACACAUGCAAGUCGCGGGGCAGCAUGGGGGUUGCUUGCAAUCCCCGAUGGCGACCGGCGCACGGGUGAGUAACGCGUAUCCAACCUGCCCUUCACCACGGGAUAACCCGGCGAAAGUCGGACUAAUACCGUAUGUUGUCCAUUGACGGCAUCCGAUUUGGACGAAAGGCUUGGCGGUGAGGGAUGGGGAUGCGUCCGAUUAGCCAGACGGCGGGGUAACGGCCCACCGUGGCUACGAUCGGUAGGGGUUCUGAGAGGAAGGUCCCCCACACUGGAACUGAGACACGGUCCAGACUCCUACGGGAGGCAGCAGUGAGGAAUAUUGGUCAAUGGGCGUAAGCCUGAACCAGCCAAGUGGCGUGCAGGAUGACGGCCCUAUGGGUUGUAAACUGCUUUUAUGCGGGGAUAAAGUGGCCCACGUGUGGGCUUUUGCAGGUACCGCAUGAAUAAGGACCGGCUAAUUCCGUG
rnacentral:rRNA from 1 species